AGCUCAGCUCAGAGCAGGACUGAAAACUGAAACUGUCGGUGCAACUUCACACAUGGAGCAGAUCGUCACGUUUUUGGACUGAAUAGACUACUUUCUUUCUUUUUUUUGCACUGAAUAUGACUUGUCAAAACUGGUUGCCACUAUUUCAUGCUGCAGAGACGUUGUAGGAUUUGCGCUUUGAUUCAGUUUAUUCAGUGAAUUUGAAAGCUUUAGUUGUGUUAUCUUAUUGCCCCAGCACCUUUCAGUUCGCCACUGGGGCCUUAGUCAGCACAAUCCACUUCAUCAGGUUACACGCGUCAAGCGGAGCUACGUGACUGCACUCACUCCCAGUAUAACCCUGCUGAACCGGGAGGGCGGAUGAGUUGGAAAUUCCCGGUCAGCAUCUCUUUUUCUUUUCUGAGUAGUUUGGCACUUUGUUUGGAUUGUCUUAUUGUGUACACCGGGAGCCAUCACCUCCUCUCCACUCGCAGACAUCGCGAAAUGAAACUCGGUCUUGUCAUCCAGGCUGCGGUGGCGCUGUAUCUGCUGCUCUCACCUGCACAGAGUCUUCCCUUGUCACGCAUAAGCAAUACAACUGAAGUGUUGAUGUUCCAAGAAGUGUGGGGUCGCAGCUUCUGCCGGACCAUUGAGAAGCUGGUGGAGGUGGUGCAGGAGUACCCGUCAGAGGUGGAGCACAUCUACAGCCCCGCCUGUGUGCCGCUGGUGAGGUGUGCAGGUUGCUGUGGGGACGAAAACCUGGAGUGCCAUCCCACUCGCACCACAAACGUCACCAUGCAGCUGUUGAAAAUCAGGCCAUCAGAGCCGGGUCAAGAAUAUGUUGAGAUGACAUUUGUGGAGCAUCAGACAUGUGAAUGUAGGUAAGAAAACAAGUCAUAAUUUGUAUUCAAAUAUCAACCGUGUCUACUUAGAAAUUACAUUUAUAGCCUUCAAAUUUAAGUCAGCAAAGUAAUAACAUCCGAGUUACAUUUUUUUAAUAAAACAUACUGAGGAACAUUUCUAAUAAACGUAACGACUGGAGCCAUAGACUGUAUGAUUGGAACACAAUCCAGCAAUUACGUUUACCACAAAACAUAUUUUGUAUAACAAAUGAAUGCAUAAAUGUAAUUUCUAGGAGACAGGGUUGAGGAAUACUUACAAUGACUAUUUAUUACCUAAUUUAUUGCUUUGUUCCUCAGAGUCAGGAAACCUAUUGUGACUGUUGAAAGGAAAAGGCAAAGAGGAAGAGGAAGGAAGAGAAAGGAGAGACAGAAAACAAAAGAUUGUGACAGCUGCCAGAACCCUCGCAGGUAACUGCAGCGGUGGUCCAACCCUCAGUUGCAGUGUGGCUCACUAUUUAUUUCCCACCCAGUGACAGCAUCCAGAGUCUCCUCCGUGUCUGCAGCCAGAGACUCAAACAGCUGGGUUGUUUUGCUGACAUGCCCUCCUGCUGAUGGGCAGAGCGUUUAUAAUGACAAGCUUCAACCGGAAGUGUGUUUUGAUUGGUGGAAACACUGCUGUUACACCUGACACAAUGGACAUCCCUGGGAGCCAGUGCAAUGUCGAACCAAACAGACCGACGCCUUCUCUUUUAUACUAGUUAUUACUGUAUCAUUUAUUGUAAUUUGGUCAUUUCUUUGGUAUUUAAAGAUGGUUACACUUUUUUGAAAUAUAUAUUUAUUGAUAAGCUGAAUAUAUUUGGACUAGCAAUCUUUAAUAAGUUUGUCAUUUUUUGUGUUCAAACAUUAUCUAAGACACCUUGACUUGUCAUAGCAACACAUGUUGGACUGAGUGUGCAGCUGCUUUGCACAUGUAACAAUGAAAUGUCUCCCUCUAGUGCUUAAAACUGCUCUAUGAUCAAAUAUUUUUAUAGAUCAAUUAAGAUUAGAUUUAGGACAGUAUUGUCAGUCACAAUCCCUUCAUCAGCGUAUUGGAGUCUUCUCUAUCAUUAUUAUGGAGGUAACUCAGUCUGAAUGAAUCCUCUCCCUCUGUAGCGCCAUGUGACCAGGCAUGACUAUAAAGUGUUUACUGUCAAUUCAUUACGUAAGAGCAAUAUUGAUCGAAAACAAUCUAUCAACUGAAGACGUGUCCACACAAGAUUGUGUAUGAAAAAAUGACUAUGAUGUAUUAAAUUGUCAAAAAUCUAAAUUGUUCUUUGAAAUCUAUCUUUCUCUAUUGUUUUGGAGAGUUGAAUCAAAUCAGAUUUCAUCAGUUUAUUUCAAAUCACACCAGGAAGUGUGCUGUAGACUGCAGAAUGGACGUGGCAAGCCCAGGAGGAAUGGGCAGAUCAAUAAUACAGUAACCAAAACACUUAAGCAGUACUCAUUUGGUGAUGACAUAUUGAUGUCUUGUUUUACUGUGAUUGCAAGUAUUGACAGAUAAAAAAGCAUUUUUUUUGUGCUUUGUGGCGUUAAACAGCACACAUUUGUGUCCACCCUGGUGACUCCCUCGGGAGCACGGGUGUCUUUCUUAGUCUGCUAUUGGAAGGGAUCAGUUGAAGUAAUUAUGUAAAAUUCUGUCCUUUUGUAUUUUUUUUUUCAUGUACUACACAAAGAAAAUCUCUAUCAAAAUGUACAAAGUAACAUUUCUACUGUGUUCGUAUUUUUAUUUCAUUUAGAUAUUUAUUUUGUAAUUAAAUUGUUAUGGUUGUCAGUUUGUCUUGCGUGAUUUUUUCAUUAUAUACCGGACUAACCCGUACUACUGACUAAUAGUAAUUGACCAUAUGCACGUUUGCUCUUACAUAUGUCACACUAAGGGUGACAUUUGUCAGGUCUAGCAGUGUGGUCC